rnacentral:rRNA from 1 species
UACGUAGGGCGCAAGCGUUGUCCGGAAUUAUUGGGCGUAAAGAGCUCGUAGGCGGUCUGUUACGUCCGCUGUGAAAACCCAGGGCUUAACCCUGGGCUUGCAGUGGAUACGGGCAGACUAGAGGCAGGUAGGGGAGAAUGGAAUUCCCGGUGUAGCGGUGAAAUGCGCAGAUAUCAGGAGGAACACCGGUGGCGAAGGCGGUUCUCUGGGCAUUACCUGACGCUGAGGAGCGAAAGUGUGGGGAGCGAACAGG